GGGUUGUGAGGUUAAGCGACUAAGCGUACACGGUGGAUGCCCUGGCAGUCAGAGGCGAUGAAGGGCGUGCUAAUCUGCGAUAAGCGCCGGUAAGGUGAUAUGAACCGUUAUAACCGGCGAUACCCGAAUGGGGAAACCCAGUGUGAUUCGUCACACUAUCAUUACGUGAAUACAUAGCGUAAUGAAGCGAACCGGGGGAACUGAAACAUCUAAGUACCCCGAGGAAAAGAAAUCAACCGAGAUUCCCCCAGUAGCGGCGAGCGAACGGGGAGGAGCCCAGAGCCUGAAUCAGCAUGUGUGUUAGUGGAAGCGUCUGGAAAGGCGCGCGAUACAGGGUGACAGCCCCGUACACAAAAGCGCAUGUGCUGUGAGCUCGAUGAGUAGGGCGGGACACGUGGUAUCCUGUCUGAAUAUGGGGGGACCAUCCUCCAAGGCUAAAUACUCCUGACUGACCGAUAGUGAACCAGUACCGUGAGGGAAAGGCGAAAAGAACCCCGGCGAGGGGAGUGAAAAAGAACCUGAAACCGUGUACGUACAAGCAGUGGGAGCACAGGUUUACCUGUGUGACUGCGUACCUUUUGUAUAAUGGGUCAGCGACUUAUAUUCUGUAGCAAGGUUAACCGUAUAGGGGAGCCGGAGGGAAACCGAGUCUUAACCGGGCGUUAAGUUGCAGGGUAUAGACCCGAAACCCGGUGAUCUAGCCAUGGGCAGGUUGAAGGUUGGGUAACACUAACUGGAGGACCGAACCGACUAAUGUUGAAAAAUUAGCGGAUGACCUGUGGCUGGGGGUGAAAGGCCAAUCAAACCGGGAGAUAGCUGGUUCUCCCCGAAAGCUAUUUAGGUAGCGCCUCGUGAAUUCAUCUCCGGGGGUAGAGCACUGUUUCGGCUAGGGGGCCAUCCCGGCUUACCAACCCGAUGCAAACUGCGAAUACCGGAGAAUGUUAUCACGGGAGACACACGGCGGGUGCUAACGUCCGUCGUGAAGAGGGAAACAACCCAGACCGCCAGCUAAGGUCCCAAAGUCAUGGUUAAGUGGGAAACGAUGUGGGAAGGCCCAGACAGCCAGGAUGUUGGCUUAGAAGCAGCCAUCAUUUAAAGAAAGCGUAAUAGCUCACUGGUCGAGUCGGCCUGCGCGGAAGAUGUAACGGGGCUAAACCAUGCACCGAAGCUGCGGCAGCGAACGUAUCACCCAAGACAACUUUACGGAGUUGACGAUUGACGGAGCGAAGCGACGUCAAAGCGUUCAUUAAAGUCGAGUUGGCUUAGGGAUACGUUCGUUGGGUAGGGGAGCGUUCUGUAAGCCUGUGAAGGUGGCCUGUGAGGGUUGCUGGAGGUAUCAGAAGUGCGAAUGCUGACAUAAGUAACGAUAAAGCGGGUGAAAAGCCCGCUCGCCGGAAGACCAAGGGUUCCUGUCCAACGUUAAUCGGGGCAGGGUGAGUCGACCCCUAAGGCGAGGCCGAAAGGCGUAGUCGAUGGGAAACGGGUUAAUAUUCCCGUACUUGGUGUUACUGCGAAGGGGGGACGGAGAAGGCUAUGUUGGCCGGGCGACGGUU
rnacentral:rRNA from 1 species